ensembl:ncRNA lncRNA:CR44788 long non-coding RNA:CR44788
UGCCCGAAAAGAAGGAAAUAAGACAGAGGAAAAUGGAAAAUGCAGCUAGGGACACAUAAGCAUGUGGCACACGUACAAUGCAUAAAUAUUUUAAUUCUACCAAAAUUUGCUGAUAGUUUUAUGGACUUGCCAACGAGACAUGUCCCGAGCACUGAGGAUCUGACCAAAAAAUGCAUUUCCAUUUUUAUUUAUUUGCCUCAGCUGUUGACUGGCAAAUAAUUUAUGUGCCUGCCUUGCAUUUCAAUUUAUUUCACAAUUUCCUUCUAGAAUGGCAAAAACUGUGGACUUGGAAUAUGGAUUCAAAGCUUAGUUUUGCGCAGAUGAGAAGUUAAGUU